AUUGAACGCUGGCGGCAUGCUUUACACAUGCAAGUCGAACGGUAACAGGCCUUCGGGUGCUGACGAGUGGCGAACGGGUGAGUAAUGCAUCGGAACGUACCCAGAGGUGGGGGAUAACGCAGCGAAAGCUGUGCUAAUACCGCAUGUGAUCUGAGGAUGAAAGCGGGGGACCGAGCAGCAAUGUUUGGCCUCGCGCCUUUGGAGCGGCCGAUGUCGGAUUAGCUAGUUGGUGGGGUAAAGGCCUACCAAGGCGACGAUCCGUAGCUGGUCUGAGAGGACGACCAGCCACACUGGGACUGAGACACGGCCCAGACUCCUACGGGAGGCAGCAGUGGGGAAUUUUGGACAAUGGGCGCAAGCCUGAUCCAGCAAUGCCGCGUGCGGGAAGAAGGCCUUCGGGUUGUAAACCGCUUUAGGCAGGAACGAAACGGUGUCCGCUAAUACCGGGCGCUAAUGACGGUACCUGCAGAAUAAGCACCGGCUAACUACGUG
rnacentral:rRNA from 1 species